ACACAUGCAAGUCGAACAAAGCACUUUUACAGAUUUCUUCGGAUUGAAAUUUUAGUGACUGAGUGGCGGACGGGUGAGUAACGCGUGGGUAACCUGCCUCACACAGGGGGAUAACAGUUGGAGACGGCUGCUAAUACCGCAUAAGCGCACAGUACCGCAUGGUACAGUGUGAAAAACUCCGGUGGUGUGAGAUGGACCCGCGUCUGAUUAGCUAGUUGGCAGGGCAGCGGCCUACCAAGGCGACGAUCAGUAGCCGACCUGAGAGGGUGACCGGCCACAUUGGGACUGAGACACGGCCCAAACUCCUACGGGAGGCAGCAGUGGGGAAUAUUGCACAAUGGGGGAAACCCUGAUGCAGCGACGCCGCGUGAGCGAAGAAGUAUUUCGGUAUGUAAAGCUCUAUCAGCAGGGAAGAAGAAAUGACGGUACCUGACUAAGAAGCACCGGCUAAAUACGUGCCAGCAGCCGCGGUAAUACGUAUGGUGCAAGCGUUAUCCGGAUUUACUGGGUGUAAAGGGAGCGCAGGCGGAAGGCUAAGUCUGAUGUGAAAGCCCGGGGCUCAACCCCGGUACUGCAUUGGAAACUGGUCAUCUAGAGUGUCGGAGGGGUAAGUGGAAUUCCUAGUGUAGCGGUGAAAUGCGUAGAUAUUAGGAGGAACACCAGUGGCGAAGGCGGCUUACUGGACGAUAACUGACGCUGAGGCUCGAAA
rnacentral:rRNA from 1 species